CCUACGGGUGGCAGCAGUGGGGAAUAUUGGGCAAUGGAGGCAAGUCUGACCCAGCAACGCCGCGUGAAUGAAGAAGGUCUUCGGGUUGUAAAGUUCUUUUGUCAGGGAAGAAGCACGUGACGGUACCUUAGGACUAAGCCACGGCUACCUACGUGCCAGCAGCCGCGGUAAUACGUAGGAGGCGAGCGUUAUCCGGAAUGACUGGGCGUAAAGGGGGCGUAGGUGGGAAUGCAAGUCAGUAGCGUAACCUCAAGGCUCAACCUAGAGACUACAUUUGAAACUGUAGGUCUUGAGUGCUGGAGAGGCAAUCGGAAUUCCUAGUGUAGCGGUGGAAUGCGUAGAUAUACGGAGGAACACCAGUGGCGAAGGCGGGUUGCUAGACAGUAACUGACACUGAGGCGCGAAAGCGUGGGGAGCAAACAGGAUUAGAUACCCUUGUAGUC
rnacentral:rRNA from 1 species